GAACACUACUGACAAGAUCUGUUUGACCAAGUAUGGUCUCUGAGGUUCCUGUCUUCUCCAUAGAUGGGAUGCAGAUGACAGCUUGAGCACUUGAGAAAUCGGACAGACUCAAUCAACAUUUUUGGCACAUUGAUCUAAUCAGAAGAGAUGCCUUGAUAUUAAAUAAAAAGCAUGAACCAAAAACAACCUUUCCAUGUGCUGAAGAUCCUGGAGAUGAAGGUGACGGAGUACUGGACACCAUUCUGCAGUUGAGUAUGGCUACCCUGUAAAAAAAAGAAUUUAGGAAAUCACCUAGGUGACUCAGGACUAAAAUAAAGAAAUAAAAAAA
rnacentral:lncRNA from 1 species